rnacentral:rRNA from 1 species
CUCACAGAAGAAGUCCUGGCUAACUCCGUGCCAGCAGCCGCGGUAAUACGGAGAGGGCUAGCGUUAUUCGGAAUUAUUGGGCGUAAAGGGCGCGUAGGCUGACUAAUAAGUUAAAAGUGAAAUCCCGAGGCUUAACCUUGGAAUUGCUUUUAAAACUGUUAAUCUAGAGAUUGAAAGAGGAUAGAGGAAUUCCUAGUGUAGAGGUAAAAUUCGUAAAUAUUAGGAGGAACACCAGUGGCGAAGGCGUCUAUCUGGUUCAAAUCUGACGCUGAGGCGCGAAGGCGUGGGGAGCAAACAGGAUUAGAUACCCUGGUAGUCCACGCUGUAAACGAUGAAUGUUAAAUAUGGGAAAUUUAUUUUCUGUAUUACAGCUAACGCGUUAAACAUUCCGCCUGGGGACUACGGUCGCAAGAUUAAAACUCAAAGGAAUUGACGGGGACCCGCACAAGCGGUGGAGCAUGUGGUUUAAUUCGAUGCAACGCGAAAAACCUUACCACUCCUUGACAUGGAAAUCAUACCUAUUCGAAGGGAUAGGGUCGGUUCGGCCGGAUUUCACACAGGUGUUGCAUGGCUGUCGUCAGCUCGUGUCGUGAGAUGCUGGGUUAAGUCCCGCAACGAGCGCAACCCUCAUCCUUAGUUACCAUCAGAUAAUACUGGGGACUUUAAGGAAACUGCUAGUGAUAAACUGGAGGAAGGUGGGGAUGAUGUCAAGUCAUCAUGGCCCUUAUGGAGUGGGCUACACACGUGCUACAAUGGUGGCUACAAUGG